rnacentral:rRNA from 1 species
CCCAGACUCCUACGGGAGGCAGCAGUGAGGAAUAUUGGUCAAUGGGCGCAAGCCUGAACCGGCCAAGUCGCGUGAGGGAAGACGGCCCUACGGGUUGUAAACCUCUUUUGCCGGGGAGCAAGCCUGAGCACGUGUGCCCAGGCGGAGAGUACCCGGAGAAAAAGCAUCGGCUAACUCCGUGCCAGCAGCCGCGGUAAUACGUAGGGUGCGAGCGUUAAUCGGAAUUACUGGGCGUAAAGGGUGUGCAGGCGGCUGAGUAAGACAGAUGUGAAAUCCCCGGGCUUAACCUGGGAACCGCAUAUGUGACUGCUUGGCUAGAGUGCGUCAGAGGGAGGUGGAAUUCCACGUGUAGCAGUGAAAUGCGUAGAUAUGUGGAAGAACACCGAUGGCGAAGGCAGCCUCCUGGGACGCAACUGACGCUCAUACACGAAAGCGUGGGGAGCAAACAGGAUUAGAUACCCGAGUAC